rnacentral:rRNA from 1 species
GAUGAACGCUGGCGGCGUGCCUAAUACAUGCAAGUCGAGCGAACAGACGAGGAGCUUGCUCCUCUGACGUUAGCGGCGGACGGGUGAGUAACACGUGGAUAACCUACCUAUAAGACUGGGAUAACUUCGGGAAACCGGAGCUAAUACCGGAUAAUAUAUUGAACCGCAUGGUUCAAUAGUGAAAGACGGUUUUGCUGUCACUUAUAGAUGGAUCCGCGCCGCAUUAGCUAGUUGGUAAGGUAACGGCUUACCAAGGCAACGAUGCGUAGCCGACCUGAGAGGGUGAUCGGCCACACUGGAACUGAGACACGGUCCAGACUCCUACGGGAGGCAGCAGUAGGGAAUCUUCCGCAAUGGGCGAAAGCCUGACGGAGCAACGCCGCGUGAGUGAUGAAGGUCUUCAGAUCGUAAAACUCUGUUAUUAGGGAGGAACAAAUGUGUAAGUAACUAUGCACGUCUUGACGGUACCUAAUCAGAAAGCCACGGCUAACUACGUG